CACGUAGGCGGCUUCUUAAGUCGGUGGUGAAAUCCUGGAGCUCAACUCCAGAACUGCCUUCGAUACUGGGAAGCUCGAGUCCGGGAGAGGUGAGUGGAACUGCGAGUGUAGAGGUGAAAUUCGUAGAUAUUCGCAAGAACACCAGUGGCGAAGGCGGCUCACUGGCCCGGUACCGACGCUGAGGUGCGAAAGCGUGGGGAGCAAACA
rnacentral:rRNA from 1 species